UGGGUUCAGAACGUCGCGAGACAGUUCGGUCCUCUAUCCUCUGUGGGCGCAGGAAAAUUGAGGGGUUUAAUUCCUAGUACGAGAGGACCGGAAUUAACGCAUCCAUGGUGUUCCAGUUGUUCUGUCAAGGGCAUCGCUGGGUAGCUAAAUGCGGAAGAGAUAAGCGCUGAAAGCAUCUAAGCGCCAAGCUCAUCCCAAGAUUAAUUUUCCCUGAAGGAUCGUGGAAGACUACCACGUUGAUAGGUCGACGGUAGAAGCGCAGUAAUGUGUGAAGCUCAUCGAUACUAAUCAUCCGUUUGUCUUGUAUCG
rnacentral:rRNA from 1 species